rnacentral:rRNA from 1 species
CUACGGGUGGCUGCAGUUUCGAAUCAUUCACAAUGGGCGAAAGCCUGAUGGUGCGACGCCGCGUGAGGGAUGAAGGUCUUCGGAUUGUAAACCUCUGUCACCGGGGAAGAAACGCUUUGAGUUAAUAGUUCAAAGCCUGACUUAACCCGGAGAGGAAGCAGUGGCUAACUCUGUGCCAGCAGCCGCGGUAAUACAGAGACUGCAAGCGUUAUUCGGAUUCACUGGGCGUAAAGGGUGCGCAGGCGGCCAAGUGUGUGAGGUGUGAAAGCCCGGGGCUUAACUCCGGAAUUGCACCUCAAACUACUUGGCUAGAGCAUUGGAGAGGGUAGCAGAAUUCAUGGUGUAGCAGUGAAAUGCGUAGAUAUCAUGAGGAAUACCAGAGGCGAAGGCGGCUACCUGGACAAUUGCUGACGCUCAGGCACGAAAGCGUGGGGAGCAAAAGGGAUUAGAUACCCCCGUAGUC